GGAGGAAUGGCAGAGCGGUUUAAUGCGGCAGUCUUGAAAACUGUUGAGGGGGCGACUCCUCCGGGGGUUCGAAUCCCUCUUCCUCCG
rnacentral:tRNA from 1 species